rnacentral:rRNA from 1 species
GACGAACGCUGGCGGCGUGCCUAAUACAUGCAAGUCGAACGCUGAAGGAGGAGCUUGCUUCUCUGGAUGAGUUGCGAACGGGUGAGUAACGCGUAGGUAACCUGCCUGGUAGCGGGGGAUAACUAUUGGAAACGAUAGCUAAUACCGCAUAAUAGCUGUUGUUGCAUGACAACUGUUUGAAAGGUGCAAUUGCACCACUACCAGAUGAACCUGCGUUGUAUUAGCUAGUUGGUGGGGUAACGGCUCACAACGGCGACGAUCCAUAGCGGACCAGAGAGGGGGAUGGCCAACAUGGGACUGGGAAACGGCCCCGACCUCCUAGGGAGGGAGCAGGAGGGGAUCUUUGGGAAAGGACGGAAGGCCGACCGGGGAAAGCCGGGGUGGGGGAGGAGGGUGUCGGGUCGGAAAGCCCUGUUUUAAGGGAAGAAAGAGUGUGGGAGUGGAAUGUUCACACUGUGACGGUAUCUUACCAGAAAGGGACGGCUAACUACGUG